rnacentral:misc_RNA from 1 species
GUUUUUUGCUUGGCCGUCUGACUGCUAUCCUUAAUGAAAUAGCAGAAACUAGGCAAUAUGUGCUGGUUUUAAUGAAGUUCAGAAUCACAAGUGGAAUAGUUGGAGGGUGAUGGGGAUGGUUCUGGUGUCUAAGUUGGGUAGCUUGGCAAUUAAUCAAAAAGAUGUGGGGUGCUGUAUUUGCUAGCAGACUAGAUAAAAAAAAAUGGACACAGAACUGAAUGUUAAUUUUGAACUAAAAAAUAAUAGCUAAACGAUGCUAAAAAAUUGGGAUAAAA